GGGCAGCAACCCAACAAUGGGUUGUCCGAUUCAUCUCAAAAUUUCAGGGCAGAUAGAUCUUGAUCUGAUAAACAAUUUUACCACAUGUCAGAUUUGCUCUAAAUGCUUUGGUUUUUGAUUUAUAAGCCAAAAACUGCAUUUUACCCCUAUGUUCUAUUUUUAGCCAUGGCGGCCAUCUUGGUUGGUUGGGCGGGUCACCGGACACAAUUUUUAAACUAGAUACCCUAAUAAUGAUUU
rnacentral:lncRNA from 1 species